rnacentral:rRNA from 1 species
AUUGAACGCUGGCGGCAGGCCUAACACAUGCAAGUCGAGCGGAGCGGCGGACGGGGGAGUAAUGCCUGGGAAUCUGCCUGGUAGUGGGGGAUAACGUCCGGAAACGGGCGCUAAUACUGCAUACUAGUAGAAGAGGCUAGGUCGGAUUAGCUAGUUGGUGGGGUAAAGGCCUACCAAGGCGACGAUCCGUAACUGGUCUGGGAGGAUGAUCAGUCACACUGGGACGGAGACACGGUCCAGACUCCUACGGGCGGCAGCAGUGGGGAAUAUUGGGCAAUGGGCGAAAGCCUGAUCCAGCCAUGCCGCGUGUGGGAAGAAGGUCGUCGGGUUGUAAAGCACUUUAAGUUGGUAGGCGUUACCAACAGAAUAAGCACCGGCUAACUUCGUGCCAGCAGCCGCGGUAAUUC